rnacentral:rRNA from 1 species
GUCCAUGCCGUAAACGAUGAUUACUAGGUGUUGGAGGAUUGACCCCUUCAGUGCCGCAGUUAACACAAUAAGUAAUCCACCUGGGGAGUACGACCGCAAGGUUGAAACUCAAAGGAAUUGACGGGGGCCCGCACAAGCAGUGGAGUAUGUGGUUUAAUUCGACGCAACGCGAAGAACCUUACCAAGUCUUGACAUCCCUUGACAGGCAUAGAAAUAUGUAAUCUCUUCGGAGCAAGGAGACAGGUGGUGCAUGGUUGUCGU